rnacentral:rRNA from 1 species
ACGCUAGCUACAGGCUUAACACAUGCAAGUCGAGGGGCAGCAUGGUCUUAGCUUGCUAAGGCCGAUGGCGACCGGCGCACGGGUGAGUAACACGUAUCCAACCUGCCGUCUACUCUUGGACAGCCUUCUGAAAGGAAGAUUAAUACAAGAUGGCAUCAUGAGUCCACAUGUUCACAUGAUUAAAGGUAUUCCGGUAGACGAUGGGGAUGCGUUCCAUUAGAUAGUAGGCGGGGUAACGGCCCACCUAGUCUUCGAUGGAUAGGGGUUCUGAGAGGAAGGUCCCCCACAUUGGAACUGAGACACGGUCCAAACUCCUACGGGAGGCAGCAGUGAGGAAUAUUGGUCAAUGGGCGAGAGCCUGAACCAGCCAAGUAGCGUGAAGGAUGACUGCCCUAUGGGUUGUAAACUUCUUUUAUAAAGGAAUAAAGUCGGGUAUGCAUACCCGUUUGCAUGUACUUUAUGAAUAAGGAUCGGCUAACUCCGUGCCAGCAGCCGCGGUAAUACGGAGGAUCCGAGCGUUAUCCGGAUUUAUUGGGUUUAAAGGGAGCGUAGAUGGAUGUUUAAGUCAGUUGUGAAAGUUUGCGGCUCAACCGUAAAAUUGCAGUUGAUACUGGAUAUCUUGAGUGCAGUUGAGGCAGGCGGAAUUCGUGGUGUAGCGGUGAAAUGCUUAGAUAUCACGAAGAACUCCGAUUGCGAAGGCAGCCUGCUAAGCUGCAACUGACAUUGAGGCUCGAAAGUGUGGGUAUCAAACAGGAUUAGAUACCCUGGUAGUCCACACGGUAAACGAUGAAUACUCGCUGUUUGCGAUAUACUGCAAGCGGCCAAGCGAAAGCGUUAAGUAUUCCACCUGGGGAGUACGCCGGCAACGGUGAAACUCAAAGGAAUUGACGGGGGCCCGCACAAGCGGAGGAACAUGUGGUUUAAUUCGAUGAUACGCGAGGAACCUUACCCGGGCUUAAAUUGCAGAUGAAUUACGGUGAAAGCCGUAAGCCGCAAGGCAUCUGUGAAGGUGCUGCAUGGUUGUCGUCAGCUCGUGCCGUGAGGUGUCGGCUUAAGUGCCAUAACGAGCGCAACCCUUGUUGUCAGUUACUAACAGGUUCUGCUGAGGACUCUGACAAGACUGCCAUCGUAAGAUGUGAGGAGGGUGGGGAUGACGUCAAAUCAGCACGGCCCUUACGUCCGGGGCUACACACGUGUUACAAUGGGGGGUACAGAGGGCCGCUACCACGCGAGUGGAUGCCAAUCCCAAAAACCUCUCUCAGUUCGGACUGGAGUCUGCAACCCGACUCCACGAAGCUGGAUUCGCUAGUAAUCGCGCAUCAGCCACGGCGCGGUGAAUACGUUCCCGGGCCUUGUACACACCGCCCGUCAAGCCAUGGGAGCCGGGGGUACCUGAAGUGCGUAACCGCGAGGAGCGCCCUAGGGUAAAACUGGUGACUGG